UCCAGAACCCCCUGAAUGAUGUAGGCUAUGGGGCCACAUAAGACUUUGUCCAUCCAGGGUUACGUUGAAUGCCAAAUUUAAACUAAAGAACCCCCUGAAUGAUGUAGGCUAUGGGGCCACAUAAGACUUUGUGCAUCCAGGGUUACGUUGAAAGACAAAUUUAAACUAAAAAGCUACCAGACUGGGAUUUUAGUGUACUCCAGGAUCUAACAAAUACUACUACGAAGUGUACAGUGCAUAAUAUAGUGUUUAGUGUAUAAUCUAACCUAAGGAUUAAGUGUAGUACAUUGUGCUUUUUAGUGUCACAAGAGUUUA